UAGCAGCAUAUUCUUCCAUGGAGAGAAAUAAUUUCCUUUCCUUUCAACAGUGAAAAAUUGGAGGAAGCUUCUCGUAAAUUGAUCAAUGAAAACAAGCUUAAAGCAGGGCUGGCUUUUCCUACUGGAUGUUCUCUGAAUCACUGUGCUGCUCAUUACACACCCAAUGCAGGAGACAAGACUGUUCUACAAUAUGACGACGUUUGCAAAAUUGACUUUGGAACCCAUGUGAAUGGGAGAAUAAUCGACUGUGCAUUCACUGUGUCGUUCAACCCAAGAUAUGAUAACCUACUUGCAGCUGUGAAGGAUGCUACUAACACAGGAAUCAAGGUAAAGUAUAUACACGUAAACAACAUCCUUU